rnacentral:lncRNA from 1 species
CAAACACUGUAUAACAUUUAUACAAUAGUAUUUAUUUACAAUGUAUUACAUUAGUAUAUUGUACAUAUAACUGUAAUAAUAUGCUACAAUUAUAUAUACUAUAUAUAAUACUACAACCUGGAAAUAGGUAAUUUCUACUUAGCUGGACUCAGUACACAGACAAAAAUGACUCAGGAAAUAUUUAAAAUCAUGAAUUGUUAGUCUUAACUCACACAUUUGAAUAAAAAUUGGUCAGAGCAUACCAAAUUUUGGAGCUAAAAAUGGCAAACCAGUGAAUGACCAGUUGGUAGUUGAUGCCUCCAAAACAAAGCAGAAAAAGUUGCUGAGAAAAAGAGGGUAAUUGAUAAGCAACUUGUGUCAGGGUAAAGAAGGGUGUGGUCACGCACCCAGCUCCAGCUGGAGCACACCUGAGCCUAAUCUGUUCAUCUCCUGGUAACUGAGAGUCACUUGUCAAUGGUGAAUUUUAACAUAUAAAGGAAGUUUUGCUAUUGGUCCACUUGCAUAAUUCAUGUUCCCAUGUUUUUUCAUAUCACAAAACUGUUUCCUCUUACUGUAACCAUAUUCUGCCCACUUUCCAAAAUACAAGUCUCAUUUAUA